AGGCUCUCAAGUUGUGUAAAAGGGUUGGAUCCGACGCACAUAGAAGGAUACUAUAGGCUCUCCUUCUCAACUCCUACUCAAUACGUCCACG
rnacentral:ribozyme from 1 species